GGGGAAGAUAAAGGAGUGCUAAUGGAGGAUGGCAAAUCUGCAGCUCCUUCCUCCUCCUGUCUCUGGGGUAAAAGUACAAAUGCCCCUCGCUGCCUCUCCGGCCCAGACAAAAGGCGAUGACCUUCUUCUUCUUCUUCGUCUUGUUCUGUUUUCUUUCCUUUCAGGAUGCUGCUGAGGCUUUCCAUGGAGUCGCUGUGAACCCGAUGCUCCCUCAGUCCUCUCCUGUUUCUAGAGCGAGAACCAAUUAGAGCUCUGACCGAACGGACCGAUCCACCGGUGGAGGACGACGGGAUCACCGACGACACGACGGAAGAAAAACAACGGCAGAAAAAACAAUGGAAGAAGAAACAACAGAAGAGCGUCGAGUAUCGAACCCAACGUGUGUUUUCAGGUAUCCAGAGGGCGAGGCAGACAGACGGACAUAUAGAUCGGCAUUCCCGGAUAAAUUGGCACUUGUGCGUCCGUCUCUCCUCGGCUAAUUAAGUCGACGCUCAGAGGCCCGGCUUAAUUGGAACGAGCUGCGUUAUCUCUGCACACACACAGCGACACACACACAGCGACAUACACACACCGACACACACACACCGACACACACACUGGGAGUAUGACUGACAGCAGAGUGUGAGCUGCUGAUAGUCGCAGAGCUGAUGUGGGAACAAUAUGGAAGAUCCUAAAACCACAACCCCCGCUGAUCUACGUACACCCACACACAAAUGACCUAUACACAAACCACCAAUAUACAAACCAUCAAUACACAAACUACCCAUACUACACAAACCACCUGUAUACAAUAAAUCGAGCCACAAACCGUCAAUACACAAAUCAUCAAUACACAAACUGUCCAUCCACCCACCAUAGAUCCACCAACCAUAGAUCCACCAACCGUAGAUCCACCAACCGUAGAUCCACCAACCAUAGAUCUACCAACCGUAGAUCCACCCACCAUAGAUCCA
ensembl:lncRNA